UGGAUUAUUACUGAGUGCAGCUAUUGGGUUUCUUUGUUCCUUUUUAUGCGUUGUUGGUAGACAGAGAUGACUGUGUGCAAAACGUGGCUGAGAAUCCCGGACAGGGCAAUGUAAUUCCACUGGCCAAAUGUAUUUAACUUUGUGGAAGGGUGGUGGGACUGAUAAGAGAACUUGAUCUCUCUUGAGGCGCAGCAAGACAGUACCAGCUCUCUCUUCCUUUUACUUUAGGUGGGCGCAGGGUCUCUGUGAGGCCCAUCGAUUGGAAAACCACCUUCCCCCCAACACGGAGACUGAAACGAAAAGCCGCUGAGGACACGGAUGAGCCCCCAGCUAAAAAACUACCAAUGGAGAUUGGAAGAACUGGAAGGAGAAACCGAUGUCAAUGAUGAGGAUGUGGAUGAGCUCCUUCUGGACAUGUAAAACAUGACGGCGUAACACCACCGCCUGAUUAUAUAGUUUAAAACAACAACAAACAAUUAAAACCAACCCUGUUCCUUUCCA